rnacentral:rRNA from 1 species
AACGUAGGACGCGAACGUUAUCCGGAGUUACUGGGCGUAAAGCGCGUGCAGGCGGUUUUGUAAGUUACCUAUGAAAGCUCUCGGCUAAACUGGGAGAGGAUAGGUGAAACUGCAAGACUAGAGUGAGGUAGAGGUGAGUAGAAUUCCAGGUGUAGUGGUGAAAUGCGUAGAUAUCUGGAGGAAUACCAGUGGCGAAGGCGGCUCACUGGCCCUCAACUGACGCUGAGACGCGAAAGCGUGGGUAGCGAACGGG